rfam:Rhodnius prolixus Rhodnius_prolixus-3.0.3-3707.1, whole genome shotgun sequence.
GCAUCUGCAAAUUCAGGUGCCGGGUUUAGUACCCCGGAUAACUAACAAGGCGCAUAACACGCCUACAGCGUGUUUUUU